GGGGGUGAAAGAGGCUCGACUUAGGUAAGCCGGGUAAAAGCAGCAUGUCGCGGAAGCGAGGAUAGCCGCGUUAACAAUCCUGGCACAAUAUAAACGCAAACACACCAGUGUUUAGUCGUGCACCAAUGGUAACAUUGAUGCCGGCUGGCGUUCCAGUCUUCGGAGUUAAUUAACUUCGAAGCCUCUAUUCAUCCAGCCUAUGGGGUGAAAUAGGGCGGUUAGUAGGCUGGCUUUGGCUGGUUUGCCUUUGAGGCUGAAGCGAGAUUCAAAAAGGCUGCGAUUUGCAAAUCCUGCCCUGCAGGAGCUGCAAAGGUAAGUGUAAAAUGCGGGGCUAAGCAUGUAGCGGCUUUUAUCUGAUUACUUAGGGACGGCGGUGCAACUCCGCCCACCUCCACCA
rnacentral:tmRNA from 1 species